rnacentral:rRNA from 1 species
AACGAACGCUGGCGGCAGGCUUAACACAUGCAAGUCGAACGCCCCGCAAGGGGAGUGGCAGACGGGUGAGUAACACGUGGGAACGUGCCCUUUGGUUCGGAACAACUCCGGGAAACUGGAGCUAAUACCGUAUGUGCCCUUCGGGGGAAAGAUUUAUCGCCUUUGGAUCGGCCCGCGUCUGAUUAGCUAGUUGGUGGGGUAAUGGCCUACCAAGGCGACGAUCAGUAGCUGGUCUGAGAGGAUGAUCAGCCACACUGGGACUGAGACACGGCCCAGACUCCUACGGGAGGCAGCAGUGGGGAAUAUUGGACAAUGGGCGCAAGCCUGAUCCAGCCAUGCCGCGUGAGUGAUGAAGGCCUUAGGGUUGUAAAGCUCUUUCGCCAGGGACGAUAAUGACGGUACCUGGAUAAGAAGCCCCGGCUAACUUCGUGCCAGCCGCCGCCGUAAGAC